AGCGGCCCGCGGACAGGGACAUGCAAGUCCGAGCGGUAUGACGGGAGCUUGCUCCUUGAUUCAGCGGCGGAAGGGUGUAGUAAUGCCUAGGAAUCUGCCUGGUAGUUGGGGGACAACGUUUCGAAAGGAACGCUAAUACCGCAUACGUCCUACGGGAGAAAGCAGGGGACCUUCGGGCCUUGCGCUAUCAGAUGAGCCUAGGUCGGAUUAGCUAGUUGGUGGGGUAAUGGCUCACCAAGGCGACGAUCCGUAACUGGUCUGAGAGGAUGAUCAGUCACACUGGAACUGAGACACGGUCCAGACUCCUACGGGAGGCAGCAGUGGGGAAUAUUGGACAAUGGGCGAAAGCCUGAUCCAGCCAUGCCGCGUGUGUGAAGAAGGUCUUCGGAUUGUAAAGCACUUUAAGUUGGGAGGAAGGGCAGUAAGUUAAUACCUUUUCUUUUUUGACGUUACCGACAGAAUAAGCACCGGCUAACUCUGUGCCAGCAGCCGCGGUAAUACAGAGGGUGCAAGCGUUAAUCGGAAUUACUGGGCGUAAAGCGCGCGUAGGUGGUUUGUUAAGUUGGAUGUGAAAGCCCCGGGCUCAACCUGGGAACUGCAUCCAAAACUGGGCAAGCUAGAGUACGGGUAGAGGGUGGUGGAAAUUUCCCUGUGUAGCGGUGAAAUGCGUAGAAUAUAGGAAAGGAACCACCAGUGGGCGAAGGCCAACCACCCUGGGACUGGA
rnacentral:rRNA from 1 species